AUGGAGGUGUUUCUGAAUCUACUCUCUUAUUUCAAUCAUCGUUUUGACUUUGGGAUAAUGAUGCAAAUUCAAAUGAUUGAGGUUGCUUUUACUCACUGUAUCGAUCUUGCUGCAAACUUCAGCAGAAUGAAGUCGAUGACAAACAAUAUCUCGACCUUUCCACCAUCAGGUGCUCAAAUUAUCCAUCACUGUAUUGAUUAG